GAUGAAGAACGUAGCAAAAUGCGAUAAGUAAUGUGAAUUGCAGAAUUCAGUGAAUCAUCGAAUCUUUGAACGCACAUUGCGCCCGCUGGUAUUCCGGCGGGCAUGCCUGUUCGAGCGUCAUUUCAACCCUCAAGCCCCCGGGUUUGGUGUUGGGGAUCGGCUCUGCCCUUCUGGGCGGCGCCGCCCCCGAAAUACAUUGGCGGUCUCGCUGCAGCCUCCAUUGCGUAGUAGCUAACACCUCGCAACUGGAACGCGGCGCGGCCAUGCCGUAAAACCCCAACUUCUGAAUGUUGACCUCGGAUCAGGUAGGAAUACCCGCUGAACUUAAGCAUAUCAAUAAGCGGAGGA
rnacentral:misc_RNA from 1 species